UCCCAGGCCACCAGAGCCAUCCAUGAGCUCCUGCUGGAACCCAGUCGGCGGAUGGAGGUACAGUCCUUCUUCUCCUCCUUGUUCAUGGCCUUGCUGUUCCAGAUCUCCUUUUUGGUGGUUGAAGUGGACACUGAAAUAAGCCAGGAUCAGCAACACAUAGCUGAAUGUGUGGACCCUAUAAGUUCUACCGUGGAGGCCCUGAAGACCUUGAUGCGAAGUUCUGGGUAUGGGGACUAUGUGUCUUCUAUACAGAGACAUGGGGGCUGGUGGCUUCUUGUCAAUCCUGAAAGACACUAUGACGGAGUCACUGUGCUGGCCAGGUCCCUGGUCAUCAAUAACUGUUGGCACAACCGCCCCCUCUUCAGCUCCAUCAUCAGAUUCCUCCAGGACCCAGACUGCAAGAAUCACUUAACGGCCCUUGUGUUCCUGACAGAGGUGACUGGCUCUUGGUGGGAGGGGGGCAGGUGAGGGUGAUCCCUCUGUGAGACAGCCACACCCAACAGACGCCUCCUGGAAAGGCCACUGACUCACUGCUAGGAAGGGUUGGGGGAGAUGGCUAAUGGUUACCUUGAGCCGGGGGCUUUGGUGCCUUCUUGAAUCUCACAGCAGUUUGACUCUGCCCUGAC
rnacentral:lncRNA from 10 species